GAACGCUGGCGGCGCGUUUUAAGCAUGCAAGUCGAACGGUACGCAUGGUGCUUGCACUGUGCUGAGAGUGGCGAACUGGUGAGUAACACGUAGGUGAUCUACCUUGAGGCCUGGGAUAGCCUGUGGAAACACAGGGUAAGACCGGAUGAGCCCCUGUACUUGCGGGUAGAGGGGGAAAGGUGCUAUGGCACCGCCUUAAGAUGAGCCUGCGUCCCAUUAGUUAGUUGGUGGGGUAAAGGCCUACCAAGGCGACGAUGGGUAGCCGGCCUGAGAGGGUGAUCGGCCACACUGGGACUGAGACACGGCCCAGACUCCUACGGGAGGCAGCAGCUAAGAAUCUUCCGCAAUGGACGAAAGUCUGACGGAGCGACGCCGCGUGAACGAAGAAGGCCGGAAGGUUGUAAAGUUCUUUUGCGGGUGAAGAAUAAGGCGAGGAGGGAAUGCCUCGCUGAUGACGUUAGCCUGUGAAUAAGCCCCGGCUAAUUACGUGCCAGCAGCCGCGGUAACACGUAAGGGGCGAGCGUUGUUCGGAAUUAUUGGGCGUAAAGGGCGUGUAGGCUGUUUUGUAAGCCUGGUGUGAAAGUGCACGGCUUAACUGUGUAUGUGCGCUGGGAACUGCAAGACUAGAGUCCGGAAGGGGGAGGUAGAAUUCCUGGUGUAGGGGUGAAAUCUGUAGAUAUCAGGAAGAAUACCGGUGGCGAAGGCGACCUCCUGGUCCUGGACUGACGCUGAGGCGCGAAAGCGUGGGGAGCGAACAGGAUUAGAUACCCUGGUAGUCCACGCUGUAAACGAUGUGCACUAGGUGUUGGAGCAAGAGCUUCAGUGCCGAAGCGAACGCGAUAAGUGCACCGCCUGGGGAGUAUGCUCGCAAGGGUGAAACUCAAAGGAAUUGACGGGGGGCCCGCACAAGCGGUGGAGCAUGUGGUUUAAUUCGAUGAUACGCGAGGAACCUUACCAGGGCUUGACAUAUACCGGGAGCCGUGAGAGAUC
rnacentral:rRNA from 1 species